UCGGGUGACAGGGUGACAGGUGGUGCAUGGUUGUCGUCAGCUCGUGUCGUGAGAUGUUGGGUUAAGUCCCGCAACGAGCGCAACCCUCGACCUUAGUUGCCAGCAUUCAGUUGGGCACUCUAAGGUGACUGCCGGCUAAAAGUCGGAGGAAGGUGGGGAUGACGUCAAAUCAUCAUGCCCCUUAUGACCUGGGCUACACACGUGCUACAAUGGGUGGUACAAAGGGUCGCGAACCCGCGAGGGGGAGCCAAUCCAGCAAAACUUCCCUCAGUUCAGAUUGCAGGCUGCAACUCGCCUGCAUGAAGUUGGAGUUGCUAGUAAACGCAGGUCAGCCAUACUGCGUUGAAUACGUUCCCGGGGCUU
rnacentral:rRNA from 1 species